CCUACGGGGGGCAGCAGUGGGGAAUAUUGCACAAUGGGGGAAACCCUGAUGCAGCGACGCCGCGUGAGUGAAGCAGUAACUCGUUAUGUUAAGCUCUAUCAGCCGGGAAGAAAAUGACGGUACCUGAGUACGAAGCCCCGGCUCACUACGUGCCAGCAGCCGCGGUUAUACGUAGGGGGCAAGCGUCAUCCGGAUUUACUGGGUGUAAAGGGAGCGUAGACGGCAGUGCAAGUCUGGAGUGAAAGGCGGGGGCUCAACCCCCGGACUGCUCUGGAAACUGUACGGCUGGAGUGCAGGAGAGGUAAGUGGAAUUCCUGGUGUAGCGGUGAAAUGCGUAGAUAUUAGGAGGAACACCAGUGGCGAAGGCGGCUUACUGGACUGUAACUGACGUUGAGGCUCGAAAGCGUGGGGAGCAAACAGGAUUAGAUACCCUAGUAGUC
rnacentral:rRNA from 1 species